rnacentral:rRNA from 1 species
AUUGAACGCUGGCGGAAUGCUUUACACAUGCAAGUCGAGCGGCAGCACGGGGGCAACCCUGGUGGCGAGCGGCGAACGGGUGAGUAAUACAUCGGAACAUGCCCAGUCGUGGGGGAUAACACUUCGAAAGAAGUGCUAAUACCGCAUACGUCCUGAGGGGGAAAGCGGGGGAUCGCAAGACCUCGCGCGAUUGGAGUGGCCGAUGUCAGAUUAGCUAGUUGGUGGGGUAAAGGCCUACCAAGGCAACGAUCUGUAGCUGGUCUGAGAGGAUGAUCAGCCACACUGGAACUGAGACACGGCCCAGACUCCUACGGGAGGCAGCAGUGGGGAAUUUUGGACAAUGGGGGCAACCCUGACCCAGCCACUCCGCGUGAGUGAAGAAGGCCUUCGGGUUGUAAAGCUCUUUCGGCAGGAACGAAACGGUGAGCUCUAACAUAGCUAGCUAAUGACAGUACCUGAAGAAGAAGCACCGGCUAACUACGUG